AGAUUAAGUUAUUAAGGGCGCACGGUGGAUGCCUUGGCACUAGAAGCCGACGAAGGACGUUACUAACGACGAUAUGCUUUGGGGAGCUGUAAGUAAGCUUUGAUCCAGAGAUUUCCGAAUGGGGAAACCCAGCACGAGUUAUGUCGUGUUAUCGAUAUGUGAAUACAUAGCAUAUCUGAAGGCAGACGCGGAGAACUGAAACAUCUUAGUACCCGCAGGAAGAGAAAGAAAAAUCGAUUCCCUGAGUAGCGGCGAGCGAAACGGGAAGAGCCCAAACCAACGAGCUUGCUUGUUGGGGUUGUAGGACACUCUAUACGGAGUUACAAAAGAACAGACUAGACGAAUCAUCUGGAAAGAUGAAUCAAAGAAGGUAAUAAUCCUGUAGUCGAAAGUUUGUUCACUCUUGAGUGGAUCCUGAGUACGACGGAACACGAGAAAUUCCGUCGGAAUCUGGGAGGACCAUCUCCCAAGGCUAAAUACUCUCUAGUGACCGAUAGUGAACCAGUACCGUGAGGGAAAGGUGAAAAGUACCCCGGAAGGGGAGUGAAAUAGAACUUGAAACCGUGUGCUUACAAGUAGUCAGAGCCCGUUAAUGGGUGAUGGCGUGCCUUUUGUAGAAUGAACCGGCGAGUUACGAUUUGAUGCAAGGUUAAGCAGUGAAUGUGGAGCCGUAGCGAAAGCGAGUCUGAAUAGGGCGUUGAGUAUUUGGUCGUAGACCCGAAACCAGGUGAUCUACCCAUGACCAGGUUGAAGUUCAGGUAACACUGAAUGGAGGACCGAACCGACUUACGUUGAAAAGUGAGCGGAUGAGUUGUGGGUAGCGGAGAAAUUCCAAUCGAACCUGGAGAUAGCUGGUUCUCUCCGAAAUAGCUUUAGGGCUAGCCUCAAGUGAUGAUUAUUGGAGGUAGAGCACUGUUUGGACGAGGGGCCCUUAUCGGGUUACCGAAUUCAGACAAACUCCGAAUGCCAAUCAAUUUAACUUGGGAGUCAGAACGCGGGUGAUAAGGUCCGUGUUCGAAAGGGAAACAGCCCAGACCACCAGCUAAGGUCCCAAAAUAUAUGUUAAGUGGAAAAGGAUGUGGCGUUGCCCAGACAACUAGGAUGUUGGCUUAGAAGCAGCCAUCAUUUAAAGAGUGCGUAAUAGCUCACUAGUCGAGUGACACUGCGCCGAAAAUGUACCGGGGCUAAACAUAUUACCGAAGCUGUGGAUUGUCCGUAAGGACAAUGGUAGGAGAGCGUUCUAAGGGCGUUGAAGCAUGAUCGCAAGGACAUGUGGAGCGCUUAGAAGUGAGAAUGCCGGUGUGAGUAGCGAAAGACGGGUGAGAAUCCCGUCCACCGAUUGACUAAGGUUUCCAGAGGAAGGCUCGUCCGCUCUGGGUUAGUCGGGUCCUAAGCUGAGGCCGAUAGGCGUAGGCGAUGGAUAACAGGUUGAUAUUCCUGUACCACCAUUAUUCGUUUUAAGCGAUGGGGGGACGCAGUAGGAUAGGCGAAGCGUACGAUUGGAUUGUACGUCCAAGCAGUGAGAUUGAGUGUUAGGCAAAUCCGGCACUCUUAAGAUUGAGCUGUGAUGGGGAGAGGAAAUUGUUUCCUCGAGUCGUUGAUUUCACACUGCCAAGAAAAGCCUCUAGCUAGAAUUGUGGUGCCCGUACCGCAAACCGACACAGGUAGUCAAGAUGAGAAUUCUAAGGUGAGCGAGCGAACUCUCGUUAAGGAACUCGGCAAAAUGACCCCGUAACUUCGGGAGAAGGGGUGCUCUUUAGGGUUAACGCCCAGGAGAGCCGCAGUGAAUAGGCCCAAGCGACUGUUUAUCAAAAACACAGGUCUCUGCUAAACCGUAAGGUGAUGUAUAGGGGCUGACGCCUGCCCGGUGCUGGAAGGUUAAGAGGAGUGGUUAGCUUCUGCGAAGCUACGAAUCGAAGCCCCAGUAAACGGCGGCCGUAACUAUAACGGUCCUAAGGUAGCGAAAUUCCUUGUCGGGUAAGUUCCGACCCGCACGAAAGGCGUAACGAUUUGGGCACUGUCUCAACGAGAGACUCGGUGAAAUCAUAGUACCUGUGAAGAUGCAGGUUACCCGCGACAGGACGGAAAGACCCCGUGGAGCUUUACUGUAGUCUGAUAUUGAAAUUCGGCACAGCUUGUACAGGAUAGGUAGGAGCCUGAGAUACGUGAGCGCUAGCUUACGUGGAGGCGUUGGUGGGAUACUACCCUCGCUGUGUUGGAUUUCUAACCCGCACCAUUUAUCAUGGUGGGAGACAGUGUCAGAUGGGCAGUUUGACUGGGGCGGUCGCCUCCUAAAGAGUAACGGAGGCGCUCAAAGGUUUCCUCAGAAUGGUUGGAAAUCAUUCAUAGAGUGUAAAGGCAUAAGGAAGCUUGACUGCGAGACUUACAAGUCGAGCAGGGUCGAAAGACGGACUUAGUGAUCCGGUGGUUCCGCAUGGAAGGGCCAUCGCUCAACGGAUAAAAGCUACCCCGGGGAUAACAGGCUUAUCUCCCCCAAGAGUUCACAUCGACGGGGAGGUUUGGCACCUCGAUGUCGGCUCAUCGCAUCCUGGGGCUGUAGUCGGUCCCAAGGGUUGGGCUGUUCGCCCAUUAAAGCGGUACGCGAGCUGGGUUCAGAACGUCGUGAGACAGUUCGGUCCCUAUCCGUCGUGGGCGUAGGAAAUUUGAGAGGAGCUGUCCUUAGUACGAGAGGACCGGGAUGGACAUACCUCUGGUGUACCAGUUGUCGUGCCAACGGCAUCGCUGGGUAGCUAUGUAUGGACGGGAUAAGUGCUGAAAGCAUCUAAGCAUGAAGCCCCCCUCAAGAUGAGAUUUCCCAACUUCGGUUAUAAGAUCCCUCAAAGAUGAUGAGGUUAAUAGGUUCGAGGUGGAAGCAUAGCGAUAUGUGCAGCUGACGAAUACUAAUCGAUCGAAGACUUAAUCAAAUUUUA
rnacentral:rRNA from 2 species